GGUUGUAUAGUGUAGUUGGUUAUCACAUCGGAUUCUGAUUAAGCGAGUUUAUUCGUCAAUCAUUCCGGGGACCUGAGUUCGAAUCUCGGUACGACCU
rnacentral:tRNA from 1 species